rnacentral:rRNA from 1 species
GAUAAGUCAUUCAAGUUUCUCCCCCAUCAGCUUUCGAUGGUAGUGUAAGGGACUACCAUGGCGUUUACGGGUAACGGAGGAUUAGGGUUCGAUUCCGGAGAGGGAGCCUGAGAAACGCCUCCCUCAUCUAAG